rnacentral:rRNA from 1 species
CGUAGGUGGCAAGCGUUGUCCGGAUUUAUUGGGUUUAAAGGGUGCGUAGGCGGUUCCAUAAGUCAGUGGUGAAAUACAAUAGCUUAACUAUUGAGGUGCCAUUGAUACUGCGGAACUUGAGUACAGACGAGGUAGGCGGGAUUGACGGUGUAGCGGUGAAAUGCUUAGAUAUCGUCAAGAACACCGAUAGCGAAGGCAGCUUACUAGACUGUAACUGACGCUGAGGCACGAAAGUGUGGGGGAUCAAACAGGAUUAGAUACCCUGGUAGUCCACACUGUAAACGAUGAUUACUCGAUGUUGGCGAUACACAGCCAGCGUCUUAGCAAAAGCGAUAAGUAAUCCACCUGGGGAGUACGCCGGCAACGGUG